UGGGGAAUAUUGCACAAUGGGCGCAAGCCUGAUGCAGCCAUGCCGCGUGUAUGAAGAAGGCCUUCGGGUUGUAAAGUAUCCUUUCAAGCGGGGAGGAAGGUGUUGAGGGUUAAUAACCUCAGCAAUUGACGUUACCCGCAGAAGAAGCACCGGCUAACUCCGUGCCAGCAGCCGCGGUAAUACGGAGGGUGCAAGCGUUAAUCGGAAUUACUGGGCGUAAAGCGCACGCAGGCGGUCUGUCAAGUCGGAUGUGAAAUCCCCGGGCUCAACCUGGGAACUGCAUUCGAAACUGGCAGGCUGGAGUCUUGUAGAGGGGGGUAGAAUUCCAGGUGUAGCGGUGAAAUGCGUAGAGAUCUGGAGGAAUACCGGUGGCGAAGGCGGCCCCCCUGGACAAAGACUGACGCUCAGGUGCGAAAGCGUGGGGAGCAAACA
rnacentral:rRNA from 1 species